GGAAGUUGGAGCUUCGGUUUUAACUUUAGUGGCGAACGGGUGAGUAACGCGUGAGGAACCUGCCUUUCAGUGGGGGACAACAGUUGGAAACGACUGCUAAUACCGCAUGACACUUUUGGGAGACAUCUCCUGGAAGUCAAAGCUUUAUGUGCUGAAAGAUGGCCUCGCGUCUGAUUAGCUAGUUGGUGAGGUAACGGCUCACCAAGGCGACGAUCAGUAGCCGGUCUGAGAGGAUGAACGGCCACAUUGGGACUGAGAUACGGCCCAGACUCCUACGGGAGGCAGCAGUGGGGAAUAUUGGGCAAUGGGGGAAACCCUGACCCAGCAACGCCGCGUGAAGGAAGAAGGCCUUCGGGUUGUAAACUUCUUUUACCAGGGACGAAGGACGUGACGGUACCUGGAGAAAAAGCAACGGCUAACUACGUGCCAGCAGCCGCGGUAAUACGUAGGUUGCAAGCGUUGUCCGGAUUUACUGGGUGUAAAGGGCGUGUAGGCGGAGAUGCAAGUUGGGAGUGAAAUCCAUGGGCUCAACCCAUGAACUGCUCUCAAAACUGUAUCCCUUGAGUAUCGGAGAGGCAAGCGGAAUUCCUAGUGUAGCGGUGAAAUGCGUAGAUAUUAGGAGGAACACCAGUGGCGAAGGCGGCUUGCUGGACGACAACUGACGCUGAGGCGCGAAAGCGUGGGGAGCAAACAGGAUUAGAUACCCUGGUAGUCCACGCUGUAAACGAUGAAUACUAGGUGUGGGAGGACUGACCCCUUCCGUGCCGCAGUUAACACAAUAAGUAUUCCACCUGGGGAGUACGAC
rnacentral:rRNA from 1 species